rnacentral:rRNA from 1 species
AGUGAACGCUGGCGGUAGGCCUAACACAUGCAAGUCGAACGGCAGCACAGUAAGAACUUGCUCUUACGGGUGGCGAGUGGCGGACGAGUGAGGAAUACAUCGGAAUCUACUUUUUCGUGGGGGAUAACGUAGGGAAACUUACGCUAAUACCGCAUACGACCUACGGGUGAAAGCAGGGGAUCUUCGGACCUUGCGCGAUUGAAUGAGCCGAUGUCGGAUUAGCUAGUUGGCGGGGUAAAGGCCCACCAAGGCGACGAUCCGUAGCUGGUCUGAGAGGAUGAUCAGCCACACUGGAACUGAGACACGGUCCAGACUCCUACGGGAGGCAGCAGUGGGGAAUAUUGGACAAUGGGCGCAAGCCUGAUCCAGCCAUACCGCGUGGGUGAAGAAGGCCUUCGGGUUGUAAAGCCCUUUUGUUGGGAAAGAAAAGCAGCAGGUUAAUACCCCGCUGUUCUGACGGUACCCAAAGAAUAAGCACCGGCUAACUUCGUG